rnacentral:rRNA from 1 species
GACGGAGGAUGCAAGUGUUAUCCGGAAUCACUGGGCGUAAAGCGUCUGUAGGUGGUUUAAUAAGUCAACUGUUAAAUCUUGAGGGUCAACCUCAAAAUCGCAGUCGAAACUAUUAGGCUAGAGUAUAGUAGGGGUAAAGGGAAUUUCCAGUGGAGCGGUGAAAUGCGUAGAGAUUGGAAAGAACACCGAUGGCGAAGGCACUUUACUGGGCUAUUACUAACACUCAGAGACGAAAGCUAGGGUAGCAAAUGGG